rnacentral:piRNA from 1 species
UCCCGGUUGAAAGGAGAACACUAUUUGAA